GACGAACGCUGGCGGCGUGCUUAACACAUGCAAGUCGAACGAAGAGCGAUGGAAGCUUGCUUCUAUCAAUCUUAGUGGCGAACGGGUGAGUAACGCGUAAUCAACCUGCCCUUCAGAGGGGGACAACAGUUGGAAACGACUGCUAAUACCGCAUACGAUCUAAUCUCGGCAUCGAGGAUAGAUGAAAGGUGGCCUCUACAUGUAAGUUAUCACUGAAGGAGGGGAUUGCGUCUGAUUAGCUAGUUGGAGGGGUAACGGCCCACCAAGGCGAUGAUCAGUAGCCGGUCUGAGAGGAUGAACGGCCACAUUGGGACUGAGACACGGCCCAGACUCCUACGGGAGGCAGCAGUGGGGAAUCUUCCGCAAUGGACGAAAGUCUGACGGAGCAACGCCGCGUGAGUGAUGACGGCCUUCGGGUUGUAAAGCUCUGUUAAUCGGGACGAAAGGCCUUCUUGCGAAUAGUGAGAAGGAUUGACGGUACCGGAAUAGAAAGCC
rnacentral:rRNA from 1 species